GUUGGUCGUACAGAAGAAGAGCAGGGGCGACUCCCCACUCUCAAACCCUAAAAACUCACUAAACUUGCAAAUUGAAGGCUCAAUCCAAGUCGAAAUCGAAAUUAAAGUGUAGAUUAUUGAUCCUCAUCACAAGAGGAUUACAAGGUAUGUAAAAUUUCAUGAAAACCCUCAACUUGAAUUUCUCAUUUUGACGCUUGACAAGCUAGGUGAAGGCUUGGAAAGGAAGCGGGUCAA
rnacentral:lncRNA from 1 species